AGCGUGCCCACUCCUAGCGAACCCUCUGCUCCGCUGCGAUGGCCUCGCUUCUGCCGCAGCAGGCUUUGCGGCGGCAUGUCUCCCGUCGCAAACCCGGUUGGGCCCCUGUCUCCGCUGUGGCCGGCAUGACCGUUGCUCUUAUCGUGUGUUCCGUUGUCUUCGUCCUGGUGCUGGGCAGUGCUACCGUAGCGGGCGGGCGACCGAAGCAGCCGAUAUCGAAGGGCACCACGGCAGGGGCGUCGUCGCACGCGUCGAGUUCGCUAUGUCCUCGCUGCCCACUGUGCUCGCGGUCGGGGACACCGAUAAAGGAGCGGCUGAAGUAUUGUCACACCACCUCCGGGUACAUCAUCUCUCUCUUCUCCUGGGGGACCUCUGCGCUGGCAGGGAAGCAGCGCACCGGAGUCUCGAAUCGCGAGCAGCGGCAGCUCUACCCGCUGGAGCUCCCAUUCGCGACCGACGACGCCGUGCGUAAACAGUGCAUGCGCGAUAUGCAGGAUCUUCUUCUCGCCCGUGUGCGAGGCCAGCCGCAAGUCGUCAUGCCGCUGCUCGAUGUGCUUCGACGCAAGCUCGCCUACCCGCGCGAGCCGGUUGUGGUGCACCUUGCCGGGGAUAACGGCGUUGGUAAGACCCACACGGCACGCCUCGUGUCCCAGGCGUUAUCGCUGCGCUGUGCGCCUGACCGCGACGUGUGCGAUGCUGGCGACAACCUGUUGACCAUCGCUGGUACCGGUUUCGACGGCCUGUCGGUGGCUGAGGCGCGCCAGCGCAUCAUAGGGCAGAUCAUCACCCACACGGAUCGCUACCCACACGGGGUGGUGCUGAUCGAUGACCUGACCGCCAUGGACCCUUCUCUCGUCAGCGCACUGGCGCCGCUGUUUGGCAGGGCGGCUCACUUCCCAGAGCAGCUCACGCACCCCUCCACUGCCACAGCCGCAGGUGCGAGACAUGCGGCGGCGAAGUCGCUGCAGACGAUGCACGAGUCGACGAAGGGCCUCGGCCCCGAUGGGGGCAGAGGCUCGGCGGCAAAGAAGGGAGAAGACGAGAAAAGGGAGGCGGCCGCCGGCACAGGCGGCGCACAGCCGUCGACAUCAGAGAUGGCGAGCUCGAGUCUUAGCAGCGGGCAGCCGCCGCCACCGCUUUCGCAGUUGAUUAUCUUCGUUACAACCGACUUCGGACGACAGGGCCGCACUGUCGGCAAGUCGCGCACCGAGAUCGAGGCGAUGAUACAGCAUGACUUUGCGGACCUCUACGGCACUCUUCUACCCGCCUAUACCCGUACCUUCGUCUACUACCCCUUCACCUCGGCAAUGGCCGAAGACGUCGUGCGCAGCGCCGUCACAGACCUGCCUUGUGCGCUCGGCGAGCGCCUGAUCGCCUCCAGCACGAUUAGCGAUGAGGCCGUCUCCUUCCUGGUUCAGCAACACCGUCAGCUGUGGUCCGGAAAAGAGAACGGCCACGCCCUCCGACGCCUGGUGGAGGACGAGAUCGUAUCGCAGCUGGUUGUGUACUGGGAGACACACGCGCAGCAGAAACACUUCGAGCGGCUGCGGGUCCACUUUGAGUUGGACGAGGCGAGCAUGCGCGUGCUGCUGCGUACCCCGCACACAUCUAGGACCACAGCAUCGCAGCCUCCGGCUGCGCUCUCGUCGGUUGAGGCACGUGCGUAUGGCCAUGGCGGAGCCGACGACGGGGACGGGGAGGAACGCAGCGACCUAUAGACGGUCCGCAUCUCCUGCGAUGUGGGGAUGCAGUGAUGAGGGCCCUCCCGCCGCCCCCCCCUCCUUCGCCCUUCGCAUCUCUGCACAGUGGCGGCGAGUCCGAG
rnacentral:misc_RNA from 1 species